CGUCAGCGAUUCAAAUGCGCUUGGGAACCAAUCAGGAACAGCAUUGCUCGUGCUGUUGCCACGAGCCCCGCACACGAAUCGCCAUCAUCACUGUGUUCUCGACGCUUCGUAACUGCUGCAGUCGCAAUCACUGUGUGUGUUGCUGAGUUGAAGUUGGAGGCAACUAACAGCGAUGAUGUUACUAUACCCUUCAAAACUGCUGAACUGGAGAGAGCCGAUCAAGUGAAAAUAACUUUUAAAAGAGACGAUCAGAAAAGGUUGAUUGCGCAGUACUGCUGUGCUCACUGCUGGGUCUGUAUUCCUGUGGAAACACCGGGAGUCUUACUGCGAAUUGAAGAAGGAACUGCGUCCUUGAUUCUUCAAGAUGUCAGCUCCAGAAGCUCAGGCCUUUAUAAAGCACAAGUCUUCAAUGGAAAGCAUGUGUCUGAGAUACAAGCUACACUUGUUGUCAAAGAACCAGCAUUGUCCUCCACCAAAGAGCCACCACAGACCUCCACCCCAAAACCUCCCGACACCUCUGGACACCUGUGGCUGUGUGCUUUACUGAUUCUUCCAGUCAUCCUGGGUGUGGUUGUUUAUUGUUUCUGGAGGAAGAAAUGCAGGAGGGAACGUGAGGCAUUACCUGAUGCUGAAGAAGCCAGAGAAACCCCUGCUGUCUCCAGCACAGCAUCUUCAAAAAACAAUUGGAAAAGAAAUUGCACUGAUUGUGCAGCAGUGUCCUUUAAGGCUUGUAGAGAAGACACUGAAGAUCAGCUCGUGGACANNNNNNNNNNNAAGCAGUCUGCUCUAGACAACUCAACAUCACUGACAUAGAAACCAGUGCAGAUAUUCCAGAAAAUCAAAGACAAUCAUUUAUUUAGAUAUGAUUUCAAUCAGAUACACACAUACUCAGAGUUGGACGGAGAGUGAGAAUGUAGCCUUUGAGGCACUGAACCCUUUUAAUAUUUAUGGAGUGAGAGAAAAUGUAUUCACUCAAAAAUAAAGAUUUAAUGGAGAAAGUAAGAUUUCUCUCU
ensembl:lncRNA